AAACAAGAUUUAUCGUGAGGAAGUCAGCAGAGGCCAUCGUACUGGACGGGUUAUAGACCGUCCAGGAAGGGC
rfam:Acidaminococcus sp. D21 cont1.15, whole genome shotgun sequence.